AGAAUCAACGCUGGCAGCGUGCCUAACACAUGCAAGUCGAACGAGAAAGUGGAGCAAUCCAUUAGUAAAGUGGCGCACGGGUGAGUAACACGUGACUAACCUACCCUUGAGUGGGGGAUAACCUAGGGAAACCUGGGCUAAUACCGCAUAAUACCUUCGGGUCAAAGGAGCAAUUCGCUUAAGGAGGGGGUCGCGGCCGAUUAGUUAGUUGGCGGGGUAAUGGCCCACCAAGACGAUGAUCGGUAU
rnacentral:rRNA from 1 species